ensembl:lncRNA novel transcript
UGCUGGGAUUACAGGUGUAGCCACUGUGCCCAGCCUGUGGCAAUUUCUUAAAAUAAGACAAUGAUGAAAUUUGCCACAUUGAUCGACCCUUCCUUUCACUAAAGAUUUCUCUGUAGCAUGCGAUGCUGUUUGAUAGCAUUUGACCCAAAGAAGAACUUCUUUCAAAAUUUGAGUCAAUCCUCUUAAAUCCUGCUGCUGCUUUAUCAACAAAGUUUAUGUAAUAUUCCAAAUCCUUUGUUGUCAUUUCAAAAUGUUCACAGCAUCUUCAGCAGAAGCAGAUUCUAUCACAAGAAACCACUGCCUUUGCUCAUCCAUCAGAAGCAACUCUUCAUCAGUUAAUCAUGAGAUUGCAGCAAUUCAGUCUUAUCUUCAGGCUCUGCUUUUAAUUCUAAGUUCUCUUGCAAUUUCCACUACAUCAGAAGUAACCUCCACUGAAGUCUUGAACCCUUCAAAGUCAUCCAUGCGGGAUGGAAUCCACUUCUUCCAAACUCCUGUUAAUGUUGACAUUUUGACCUUCUUCCAUGAAUCAUGAAUGUUUUUAACAAAAUCUAGAACAGAGACUCCUUUCCAGUAGGUUUUCAAUUUACUUUGCCUGGAUCCAUUAGAGGAAUCACUAUCUAUAGCAGCUAUAGCCUUAUGAAAUAUAUUUCUUAAAUGAUAAGGCCUGAAAAUCUAAAACUACCCCUUGAUCCACGGGCUGCAGAAUGGAUGUGUGUUAGCAGGCAUGAAAACAACAUUAAUCUCCUUCUAUAUCUCCAUCAGAGCUUCUGAGUGACUACGUGCAUUGUCAAUAAGCAGCAAUAUUUUGAAAAGAAUCUUUUUUUUCUGAGCAAUAGGUCUCAAUCACAGGCUUAAAGUGUUCAGUAAACCAUACUGUAAACAGAUGAGCUGUCAUCCAGGCCCUGUCGCAUUCAUAAAGCACAGGCAGAGUUAAUUUAGCUUAAUUCUUAAGGGCCCUAGGAUUUUCACAAUGGUAAAUGAGCACUGGCUUCAACAUAAAGUCACCAGCUGCAUUAGCCCCUAACAAGAGAGUCAGCUUGUCCUUUGAAACUUGGAAGCCAGGCAUUGACUUGUCCUUUCUAGCUAUGAAAGUCCUAGGUAGCAUCUUGUUUCAAUAGAAGACUGUUUCAUCUAAAUUGAAAAUGUGUUGUUCAGUGUAGCCACCUUUAUCAAUGAUGUUAUCUAGAUCUUCUGGAGAACUUGCUGCAACUUCUACAUUGGCACUUGCUGCUUUACCUGGCACUUUUAUGUUAUGGAGACAGCUUCUUUCUUUCAGUCUCAUGAACAACCUCUGUUAGACUUCAACUUCUCUUCUGCAGCUUCCUCAUCUCUCAGGGUUCAUGGAAUUGAAGAGAGUUAGGGUCUUGCUCUGGAUGAGGCUUUGACCCACAGCUGGUUCCACACCCCUAAAACUUUCUCCAGCUCAGCAAUAAGGUUGCUUUGCUUUCUUAUCAUUCUUGUGUUCACUGAGUAGCACUUCUCAUUUCUUUCAAAAACUUUUUUUUUUGCAUUCACAACUUGGCUAAAUGUUUAGCACAAGAGGUCAAACUUUUGGCCUAUCUUGGCUUCCAACAUGCCUUCCUCACUAAGCUUAAUCAUUCCUAGCUUUUGAUUUAAAGUGAGAGCUGUGUGACUCUUCCUUUCCCCUGAUCGCUUAGAGGCCAUUGUAGGGUUAUUAACUGGCCUAAUUUCAAUAUUGCUGCAUCUCAGGGAAUAGGGAGGCCUGAGGAGAGGGAGAGAGAUGGGGAAUGGCGAUUGAUGGAGCAGUCAACACACAACAUUUAUUGAUUAAAUUUGCCAUCUUAUAUGGACUUGGUUCAUGCCUCAAUUACAAUAGGAACAUGAAAGAUCACUGAUCACAGAUCACCAUAACAGAAAUAACAAUAAUGAAAAAGUUUUAAAUAUUGUGAAAAUUACCAGAGUGUGACACAGAGGCAGGAAGUGAGCACAUGCUGUUGGAAAAACAACGACAGAUUUGCUUGAUGCAUGAUUACCACAAACCUUCAAUUUGUAGAAAGCACAAUAUCUGCGUUAACUCCUGUUUCUCUGGAAUAGUCUCGUAAACUUCAGGUUCUUUGUCAAUGAGAGACUGCUUGGAGGCUAAGCCUGCUCUGAGGGGCUGCAGCUACCCUGCCCCUGGCAGUGUCUUUGACUGCAAGGCGUGGAUAAAGCCGGAGAUUUUUCGAUGGAGCAGAGGCCAGCUGGGUGGUUGCACUGACUCGUGAUAACCCUGGUGGCAGUGCUGGAGGCCGGUGAGGUGGUGAAGGGCAUGGCGCUUCGGACAUGGGCCCUUCCUACGUGCAGGACCUCCUGGGGUGCAGAGGCUAAUUUCAUCUUGUAUGGAUGAUGUUCCUCUUCCUCCGUCACCAGAUACCAGAUUUUAUCUUCAGAUCUGGCUCCCAUAAGAGUCAUGUCAUCUGCGCUGUUUUUGAUUUUGUUCUGAGCUUCCCACUGUGCCCUAUGGCUGGUGUUUCCCCAGUCCAUGGCUGUGAUUACAUCUCCGAUACACAAAUUAGCUACAGCAGCCUUGCUUCUGGGGGUGACCUGGAAAUGGAGAGGAUGCUUGAAGUCCUUGCUCCCCAUGAUGCAGAAGCCCCAUGGUCCCGGGCCCUGAGGGACUGUCUACUGGGUGAUCGUGGCAUGGGGACAGGCUUGCAGGACAAGAACACUGGUCAUACCAAGAGAACCUGCUCUGAAAAUUGAAUUUUCCACAAGCCUAGCUGCUGAAAAGGCCCGUUGUAACCUGAGGACCAGUUUAAGCUCAUAUUUUCUCAAACACACUGCCCUGACUCGAAGACUAACCUUACCUCCAGCUGUCACUCACCAGUCAGAGCUCGCCAGCUCCCAGAAGCUUCUCCAGAGCCAAUGUGCUUUCUUUCCAAACAAUACCUAACAUUUCUCUAAUAAAACUCUCACCUUUUUUAAAAAAAAACUUUUAUUUUAGGUUUGAAGGUGCAUGUUCAGGUUUGUUAUCAGUUUACAUAGGUGAACUCGUGUCAUGGGCAUUUGUUGUACAGAAUUUUUUCAUCACCCAGGUAUUAAACCCAGUACCCACUAGUUAUCUUUUCUGCUCCUCUCCCUCCUCCCACCCUCCACCCUCAAGUAAGCCCCAUUGUGUGUUGUUCCCCUCUAUGUGUCCAUGUGUUGUGAUCAUUUAGCUCCCACUUAUAAGUGAGAACAUGUGGUAUCUGGUUUUCUGUUUCUGCCUAGUUUGCUAAGGAUAAUGGCCUCCCACUCCAUCCAUGUUCCUGAAAAAGAUGAUCUCAUUUUUUAUGGCUGCAUAGUGUUCCAUGGUGUAUAUAUGCCACAUGUUCUUUAUCUAAUCUGUCAUUGAUGGUCAUUUAAGUUGAUUCCAUGUCUUCGCUAUUGUGAACAGUGCUGCAAUGAAUAUUUGUGUGCAUGUGUUUUUAAAGUACAAUGAUUUAUAUUCCUCUGGGUAUAUAAAUUCCAAAUGGGAUUGCUGAGUCAAAUGGUAGCUCUGUUUUUAGCUCUUUGAGGAAUUGCCACACUGCUUUCUUCAAUGGUUGAACUAAUUUGCACUCCCAACAACAGUGUAUAAGCGUUCCCUUUCCUCCAGCAUCUGUCAUUUUGUGACUUUUUAAUAAUAACCAUUCUGACUUGUGUGAGAAGAUAUCUCAUUGUGGUUUUGUUUUGCGUUUCUCUAAUGAUCAGUGAUAUUGAGCUUUUUUUUCAUAUGCUUGUUGGCCAUAUGUAUGUCUUCUUUUGAAAAGUGUCUCUUCAUGUCCUUUGCCCAGUUUUUAAUGGGGUUGUUUUUCUCUUGUAAAUUUCUUUAAGUUCCGUAGAGAUGCUGAAUAUUAUGUCUUUGUCAGAUGCAUAGUUUGCAAAUAUUUUCUCCUAUUCUGUAGGUUUUCUGUUUACUUUGUUGAUGGCUUCUUUUGCUCUGCAGAGGCUCUUAAGUUUAAUUAGAUUCCAUCUGUCAAAUUUUGCUUUUGUUGCAAUUGCUUUUGGUGUCUUCAUCAUGAAAUUUUUGUCCGUUUCUAUGUCCAGGAUGGUAUUGCCUAGGUUGUCUUCCAGGGUUUUUACAGUUUUGGGUUUUGCAUUUUAGUCUUUAAUCCAGCAGUCCACAACCUUUUUGGCACCAGGGACUGACUCUGUGGAAGACAAUGUUCCCACAGAGAGCAGUAGGCAGGGAGAUGAUUUCGGGAUGAAACUGUUCCACUUCAGAUCAUCAGGUAUUAGUUAGAUUCUCAAAAGGAGUGCACAACCUAGAUCCCUCACAUGUGCAUUUCACGAUAGGGUUUGCACUCUUAUGAGAAUCUAAUGCUGCUGCUGAUCUGAUGGGAGGUGGAGCUCAGGUGGUAAUGCUUGCUUACCAGCCACUCACCUCCUGCUGCACGGCCUGGUCCCUAACAAGCCACAGAAUGGUACCAGUCCAUUGCCCAGGGGUUGGGGACCUCUGCUUUAAUCCAUCUUGAGUUAAUUUUUGUAUAUGGUGAGAGGAAGGGGUCCAGUUUCAAUCUUCUGCAUAUGGCUAGCCAGCUAUCCCAGCACCAUUUAUUGAAUAGAGAAUCCUUUCCCCAGUGCUUGUUUUUGUCAGGUUUGUCAAAGAUCAGAUACUUGUAAGUACGCGGCCUUAUUUCUGGGUUCUCUAUUCUGUUCCAUUGGUCUAUAUGCCUGUUUUUGUCCCGGUACCAUGCUGUUUUGAUUACUGUAGCCCUGUAAUACUGUUUGAAGUCAGGUAGCGUGAUGCCUCCAGCUUUGUUCUUUCUGCUUAGGAUUGCCCCUGGGCUAUUCUGGUUCCAUAUGAAUUUUAAAAUAAAAACUCUCAACUUUCUCUUUGUUCUUGGAACACACUGAAGACCACCCGAUCUGUGAGUAUGCCCCACUUUGCCAUUCUUGCCUCCUAAAUAAUCAGUGUUAAGUUUAGAGAGUCAUCUCUAUAUUUUAUUUGACUUCAGCAAUGUAAACUGUGAGUCAGAGCUGCAGUGGUGGAGGCUGCAACCUUGGCAGCGGGAAGGUCAGUUCACAGGGUUUCUCGGCAUGCUCCUCCUGUGUCCCCACCGUCUAUAGGUGCCCUCCAUCAUACAUGUGCCCUUGGCUUGUAGACUGGCCUGAUCUUUCCAGAACUAUUUUUGGUCAUGCCUCAUGCAUGAGCUUGUGCCUGAGCACAAUGAUGUGAAAAUUAAUUUAGUCAUAUCUUGUCCAAACUAAAAACAUUGAACCAUUUUAAAGGAAAGCAGCUUCCCAAUGUUGCCAUAUAUUGUUUUAAAAUAAUUGUAAAAAGUAGUUGCUCACGUAACAGCACUGGGCCUGCCAUUGACCUUGCACGAGAUGCCUCACACACAUCUGAGAGGCUGUUACUGUGGACGCAGUCCUCAGUGCUGCUGCUGCAUGGGACCCUGCUUCAGAGGAGCUCUGCAACAGCAAAAGUGCCAAGCAGAUCGAAGAGGACACAGCAGGACCAUGUGGGGCCCUCCUCCCAGUGGACUGUGCCUCUGUGGUCACCCCUGUCGUCCAGCUCCGUUAUGGCCAUGGGAACCAGAACCUGGCAUGUUCCAGCACCUCAUUCUGCAGUUAGAAAUCAACAAAACCUCCCAAAUGGGAGAGGAGGGCCUAAAACCCUUGGGAAAUUUCCUUUGCGAGAUUUUCAUGAGACUUGGAAUGUCCUGAAGUUUAAUAUGUGAAGGAAGCUUCCUGACACAGCCUGCACCCCAGUGGACUUCCCAAAGCAAGUUGAGUCUGACUUCGCACCCCUGACAUCAGAAUCAUCUGACUUCUGGGCACGCCACUGAAUACUGAUGUACCUGAAGGAACCCUGGGUACCAAACAUGCUCAAGUGAAUGAAUGGUGUCCAGGACAAAGCCCAGCAGGGUGUAUGAAGAAAGGGCUUCAGCAGAAACAGAGGCUGAAGCCUGCGUGCUGGGGGCCGAGAGGCCAGAGGAGAAUGUGAUGAGACAUAGAAUUGGUAGUGCAGGAAGUUGGAAGAUCAAGUACCGUGAUGUUGGUGCUGGCUGCUUGUGUUAAACUGCCUAGGUUUUAAUCUACGGUAAUUUUCGCCCACCUGUGGGGCUCCCCUGGUGCCCCAGCUGUGAUGGGGUAACUGAACUGCCACCAGGGCCAAGCUGUCAGUGGCCCAGGAUCUGGCGCUUGGAAGAGUUCUGAGAAGCACCCCUGGAUCAAAUGAGGAGAAACAGACUUCAUCCAUACCUAUUCCCAUUGUAUUUAAAGAAGUGAAUAUUCUCAGGGAUUUCCACAGUUUUAAAAGUGUCUUUCAAUUAAAACAUUUAAAAUAAAAUAAGGUUGAGGUAACAACCAAGUUACACUUCUUCCAGCAGCACCCAGACAGCGAGAGCCCUCAGAUUUUAGAAUUUUAGAAGAGAAGAUUGUGGCCAUGUCUGGAAUUCAAAGAAGAACCAGUGAGAAGAGCUAGAUAGAACUGAUGGAUGCUGAAACAUCUAAUAUUAAAAUAGAAGGGCAACCCUAAAUGAUAAUAUAAAAUUACAAUAUUAAUGGUAGAGUAAUUAAGGAAGCCAUUAAUGUUGAAUUAUGUAUGUGUAUGUUAAACCUAUAAAUUAAAAUAUCAUGAACAUUAUACCAUCUGUGCUGGUUUCAGUAAUGCUGUUAUAAAAUAAUUAUUAAACUGUAUGAAUGACUUUUUAUUAAUAUAAAAUUAUAAAUUGCUAUUGUCAAAUAGAACUUUAAAUUUGAAUAAAAAGAAUAUAUUAUUACUAAUAUGUUAGACUUUGAUAAAAUAUGAAAUUUAAACAACAUUUUAAUAAAAUGCUAAGUUUCCCAGUAAUAUUUAUAUGAAGUUAUUUGAGAUACUGUUUGUUCAACAAAUAAUGUGACAGUGUCUAGUGUUGGCACUGUUUGAUUAAGUGGUGGAAAAAUAAAACAUUUGCAAGGAAAUGGGUUAUUUCAAGUUAUAUUUUAAUGUCCUUUUAUUUCCACAUAAUAAAAUCUUUAUGCUGGGCAUGGUGACUCAUGCCUGUAAUCCCAGCAUUUUGGGAGGCUGAGGCGAGAGGAUCGCUUGAGCCCAGAAGUUCACGACUAGCUUGGGCAACAUAAUGAGACUC